UUUCCAAAAAGGCAGAAAGGAAAAGAAACAGCCAUGGGUUCUCUUUAGGUGUCGAAGAAAGAAAAAUGUGUAGGUUAAUUUCUAGACAUCAGAACUGCAAUCCGUUUUUGCCUAUAUGAUCACAACGUCGAGCUCUACGAACGAAGGUAAGAGUUCAAAGCUUAUUUGCAGAUUUGAAAUUAUAUUUUGGUUGGGGAUUUCAUGUUAAUAACUUUGAAAAAAUUCAUGUUUGAAGUGCUAUAUGGUUGAAUUGAGAGUUUUGGAAGUCUCAAGGCUGGUCGAACAAUAUUGUUGAAGAAGACAGAGGUAAAAUUUUACUUGAUUUGGAGUUAUGGAAUUCAAUUGUGCAUUGGUUGUUAGAUGGCAUUUGAUAUAUGGCUCCUGAAUGGAUUUCAUGGAAAUGUUGAUUAAACUGUGAUUCAUGUGAAUAAAUUUUGGAUUUGGUUAUUUUGGGGAUGUACAUGCACUGUGCAGAUGGAAUUGAGACGUGUUAGUUUAUGUUGGUGCAUGCAAAUUGUGUAUUGAUAUUUUCUUUUUCAAAUUAGGCACUUUCUUGGCUUAAGCAAGAUCAAGAGAUAAGAGUGAACAAUUGUGGAAAGAGUUAGUACCUAAAGCUUGGAAUAUCAGGUAGGGGACUCACACCCUGGUUAGUGGUUUUCGAUAUGUAUUAUGUAUGUAAAUAUGGAUGUGUGCAAGCUAUGCAUUGGAUUUUGUUGUUGUUAGAACUGCAUGUUAGGAAAAGGAGUUUUAUUUUUCUAGCAUGUGAUUUAUGUUAUUCUAAAUUGUAAUGACGACCUGAGAGUGAAGGGGGCUGUGUGACUAUCCUGGGCUUCGAUCCCCUAAACCUCUGGAGGGUCCUAUACAAACGAACUCGUAUCAUUAACCGUAAGGGGAAAGGGUACUUGUGUCUAUGUGGUAUAGGUUGUAAGUGGACACUCUCACUACCCUACCUCGUGUUGAUAUUACUUGAGAAUUUAUUUUAGGUAUGGUAGUUGGCCGCGUGUUCGGUUGUCAGGACAAGAAGAAUGCAGGGAUCCCACUAUAGUUAAUUUUGAGCAUGAAAUAAUUUUAACUCAUGCCAAAACAUUUUGUUGUGCAAAUUAUUUCCUUUAUACAUAGUACAAGGGUAUAUCUAUUUUCAAACCUAGCUAGGGUGCCUCCCGAGGGGGGGCAAAUGAUUGUAUGUGAUGCUCACCCCUACAUUUUCAGGUGUUGUGCGAGAAAUAAUAGAAGAGUUGGACUAAGGUGUGGGGUUGUAGCUUGUAAACCUCAAAGCUUCGAGUCAGAAAAUUAGCUUUUGAAAUGUAAAUAUUGAUUUUCUGGUUUCAAUGAAAACUGUAUAUGUAUAGCCUCUUUUGCUUCUGUAUAUAUUUAUCUAAACCUAUCACUCCUUUGGCUUUUGUAAACUGAACUUUUGGGAUUUCUGUUGUAAAAAGGUUGCUUAUGAAAUGGUUUGAAUGUUAUGGAUUUUACUUGAACUCUGAUAUUUAUUUUGAUAUUAAUUUUAGAGGCCUUGUGUAUCGUAAAGACACAGAAGAAUUGUCAUGUUCUAAGAAUGGAGCAUACAACUCUCGAGCGUUUUUAAGAUUCACGACGUUGUCACGAUACAUUUUUUGGUCAUGACACUAGGGUUACACAACCAGCCUAUUAACAGCUGUAUAUCCUUAUCAUCUUAAUAAUGAAUGAGUCCUAUUAUGAUUUAAUAUCUUUGCAUUCAAUCCUUAUCAGGAUUUCUUUAAGUUAGCGGCAUGGAGUUAAGACUCCGUAGUCCUCACGAAGUAAACAUCAACUAUACCACUUGUAUUAACAGUCAUUCAAGAACUUCAGUUUUCUUGAACUAGGCAUGCGCUUUAGAAAAAGAACACGCCUGCGAAAAGACGAAAUGAACGCGCCGACGGGUUCACGUUUCUAGGGUUUGUCGGUGUCACUGCCGGUGUCAUCUCAGCGUCCCAGCGCCGAUCUGGGUAUUGAGUCCUUGCGUUCCUCACCGAAGUGGGUAUUGGGUCUUUGCGUUCCGCACCGAAGUGGGUAUUGGGUCUUUGCGUUCUGCUGUCGUAGCAGUAACUUGUUGCUGAAAUUGGGGUUUUAAGCUCUGCAAUUUGAAGGGGUCGUCUGCACCUGCAGACUUGCUGCACCAAUAGGAGACUUGGGCUCUCCUUUAGAGAAGACUUCCAUUGUUGCCCACGUCUACACACUUUUCAACAGGUUAAUUUCUAAUUUUAUAUUUAAGUUUUUAAUAUUCUUUUGAAAUGCAUUUUGUUUUAGGUUGAUUGGUUUUCAUCGACAAGUCACCCACUGCCCUAUGCCUAUGGGGCUUUCUUGACUUUGCUACUUCCUCAAAAUUGAAUAUUGCCAUUGGUUCAUUAUUCGGACAAUCCCCAAAAGCAAGGACCUUUGCUUCCAUUGUCACAAGUGAUGCAGAAACUUCAGUUAAUUUUAGUCAACUUCCUAUUCCUACUGUUCGAGGCGAUGUGACUUAUGUCAAGAUUAGUGAGAACCUUUAUCAAGAACAAUUACGCUCAUGCAGAACAAACCUCAUUGGUAGACUUUUGUUAAAAAAAGGAACGAUGACGAUGAAGACUAAGUUUCUCAAGAGUGCCUUGGCUUCUUUAUGGAAGCUUUAGAAUUCUUGGAAACUAGUGCCUCUAGGCAGAGGAUAUUUUGAUCUUCAUUUUUCCACCAAAGAAGAUAUGAGAAGAGUGUGGGGUGGUGGAACCUGCACACUUCAAUUUGGUCUUUUUAGGUUGUCCCAAUGGCAACCGGACUUCAAGCCUGGUGACGUCCUUCCCCAAACUUAUGCACAGGUAUGGAUCAAAAUAUAUAGGUUAAGUCAAGAGUAUUGGCACCAUCGCAUUCUUAUGGAAAUUGCUCAUAGGGUGGGUACCCCACUUCAGUUGGAUCAUGCUACACAUGAAAAGUUAUAUGGUUAUUAUGCUACAAUUCUGGUGAAUGUGGAUAUUUCUCUGAUUUGCCUUCAUCUAUUAUGGUUGAGCGGGAACAACAUGGUUUCUUUGUUGAUAUUAUUUAUGAGAAUUUGCCUCCAACUUGUGGAAAUUAUGGUGUAAUUGGCCAUUAUACAAACAAAUGUAGGCAUUUAAAGGGCAAUCAUUCAGAUGGGAUGCAACCAGAUAUUGAGGCUUGCCGUCGCGGACGCUCACCAACUCGUCAGGUUUAUCGUCCAAAACCAUUUACUAAGAUUGUUUCUCCUUAGGGUGAUACUAUACACAAGGAACGUUCUCCUUCAGUCGAAAUUAUUCAUAAUGAGCGUUCUCUUGGACUUAAUAAUGAUAUGAAGGUCCCACCUUGUAGCUCUCUUAAGCAAUGGCAUGUUGAACAAGUUAACGAUUUUGCAAAUCAAAUAUUAAUGAGUGUUGUGAAUACCGAGUUAAGUGUGUUGGCUGACAAGGUUAUUGAUUCGUCGGCAGAUCUUCAUGGUCAGUUAGAGACAAAUUCUGAUAGACAGCUUCUAGAGUUACAACCAACCAAUAAUAUUGAUGAUACCCGUUCCUGUAACUUGAAUGACACUCUUUCAAGGGAGACCGAUGAUGAGCCUACUGAAGAAAAUAAUAUUGCCCAUAUUGAUUCUAAUGUUGAUGGAGAUGUUCCACCUGGUUUUGGUCUGAGGAAUGAGAUCAAUGUUGUGGAUGCAGGGAAGGUCUCCAAUGACUUUACCCUAGUUCUUAGUAAACCUCAGCAGAAGAAACAGAAAAAAAAAAAAAAAAAACCAAAAAGUUGACGUAUGUAGGCAAGAAGAACCCUAUGUUACGAGGGCAGGAAGACAAGUUAUCUCUACCUCCAAAUGAAGUUAGUUUAUUGGAAUAUUCGCGGUAUUAGGAAUUCUGAUACGCGUACUGAGCUUUCUAAUGUUUGUCAUUCCCAUCAUCCCAACUUGGUUUGCAUAUCUGGACCUAUGGUUACUUUUGAUUCUAUUCCUUCUGUUUAUUGGAAUUCAUUAGGUCUAUCUUUGCUUGCUAUUAAUAACUAGGGUGAUUUAAUGCAUAAUAUUUGGGUUUUACAUUCUACGAGUUAUUGUUCUCCUAUUGUGAUUUCUUCUUUAGGGCAACAAGUUACUUUUCAAGCUUCUUAUGAUGGUGUUCUUUCUCAGUUUACUAUUGUCUAUGCGGCUACUACUUCGACUCUUCAUCGUGCUUUAUGGUGCAAUCUCUUAAAUAUUUGUUUUAAUACUAUAGUACUGUGGAUGGCAAUUGGUGACUUUAAUGCUAUUCUUGGAGCACAUGAACAAAUAGGUGGUCACUUACCUGUUCGAACUUCAUGCGAGGACUUUCGCAGUACUACUGAGCUUUGUGACUUUACUCAUAUGGAACUAUUGGUGCUUUUUAUACUUGGACUAAUGGUUGGAGUGUUCGUGGUUACAAGGAGAGGCUUCUUGACCGCUCUUUUUGUGACACACAUUGGUUACAAUCUUGGUCUUAUACCAGUUGUUUAGCUUUGCCCAUGGUUGUUUCUGAUCAUAAUUGUCUAGUUUUCUCUGCUUCUGCUAUUUUUCUUGGAAGACCACGACCUUUCUGGUUUCAAUCCAUGUGGACAUUACAUUUAGGAUUCUCUGAUUUGGUUGCUAAGUGUUGGCAGCCAACUGUUGCAUAUGGGUGUCCCAUGUUUGUUAUAUUGGAAAAGCUUAAAGCCCUUAAGCGUUGCCUCGUGAUUGGAACUCUAAUAUUUUUGGCGAUGUCCAUAGAAAUGUCAAUAUUGCUAAGGAAAAACUUCAUCAUAUCCAUAAUAUUAUUUCUUCUGAUGGGAAUUCUAAAGAGAGAUUUAAUGAGGAAGUUGUGGCUAAGACAGCUAUCCUCAAUGCUCUUCGUAUACAAUAAGCUUUCUGGCGUGAUUGUGCCCGAGUUAAAUGGCUUACUGAGGGUGAUCAUAAUACUGCUUUUUUCCAUGCUUAUGCUUGAGGUAGGCAUUCUUCUUCUAGGAUUUUUAUUCUUUUGGAUGGUGAUAAUGUACUUUCUUCUCAUACUGCUAUUGUUGAUCAUGUGGUAAACUUUUAUCGGUCUUUAUAUAAUUCUCCGUUCGUACCAACUGGAAUUGAGGAUGUUUGUGGUGUAAUUACACCUAUGGUUAGUGAAGAGGAAAUAUUUUCUCUUUCUUGUUUACCUUCAGUUGAAGAAUUAGAAGUGCUAUUUUUUCUAUGGAUCCCUCAAGUGCUCCGAGACUUGAUGGUUUUCCUGGUUCCUUUUAUCAGUCUUGCUGGUAUAUUGUUGGUUUGGAUGUUAUUGCUUUUGUACAAGAUUUUUUUAAACGUGGUUGGCUUUAUCCGAAUGCUAAUUGCAACUUUGUGGUGCUUAUCCCUAAAGUUGAUGUUAUACCCACCUCUAAUUUAAAUUGUAUUUUCACUAAGUUUGUGAUUAUCUUACUUUUAAAAUUGUUUUUAGGUCUUAAUUAGUGUGCCCAAGGGGCCCACCCUUUGAUUUUGUCCCCCGUGACCCUUUCUUCUUUCUUUUCUCCUUCUCUGCACACUCCAUUCUCUCUCUCGAAACCCACUCAUCUCUCUCCCUCUCUAUCACCGUGAGCACCCACACACACACACCCACCACCACAACUACCUAACUACGACACCACCAUCACCUAUGGAACUUUCUUCUCUAUCUCCCACGUCUCGAUGAAGCUCCGGGACACCCAGAGAACACCCAAGUCUCCCCCGACGCCUCCGGCGACUUUCGAGAUAAUUUCCGGCUAAACCACAGUGAGUUGGCAGGCGUGCAAUAUAUCAAUCUCUUUGUCUCGCUGAGUACUAUAACUUUCCAUUUUGUUUCACCCAAUUUCGUUGAGUAUUGAAGAAGUUAUAUCCAAUUGAAUCUUAUCCAGUUUCCGGCGACCUCAGUGAAUUUCGAGGAGUUUUUCGACUAAACCACGGCGAGUUAGAUGUCGUGCAAGGUACCAUUCUCUUCGUAUCAUCGAGAGAUGUCGUGCAAGGUACCAUUCUCUUCGUAUCAUCGAGGGCUACAACUUUCGUUAUUGAAUCAUUCAAUUUUGUUGAGUUUUGACAAAGUUAUGAACGUUUAAAGCAUUGGAACUCGAGUUGGGCUUUCAAGCCCCAAAGCCCUUUCGAACCAGGCCUUCGGGUCGUUGAACCUAAGCCCAAAACCUUAGGGCAACCCAAUCUUUUUAUUUUGUUAUUUAUUUUAUUUGUUUAUUUUCUGUUAGAAACCCAAAGGCCUUUGGGCCAUUCAACCUAACCUAAGAACCCUUUAUUUUAAAUUGUUUUUAUUUUAUUUAUUAAACUAAGGCCUUUGGGCCUUAUCCAAAACCCUAAACCCUUUAACCUUUCAAAUCCUUAACCCUAACCGGUCAAAACCCUUUAUGGGAAAUAUUCCGUUAGGGAAUAUUCCAUCAGGGAAUAUUCAAAUAUUAUGUCAGGGAAUAUUCUAGGAAUAUUCUAUCGACUUUUACAAAAUUAAUCGGGACCCUUCUUAGGGUAGUUCGACGUCCUGAACUUGUUUCUGACAUCCGUUUUCCCAAAUUCAAUUGUUAUAACAUAUUUUUAUUAAUUGGACCAUUUAUGUGCUUAGGGGCAAUAUUUGUGACGUUUUCGUGGUUGCUAGUUUGCGUGGCUCUUUGGCGGCUAAAUACUGUGAGUGGACCCCUUCUAAAAUUUACAUGAUUUCAUAGUUUAAUUGCAUAAAUGAAUAGCAUGCCUUACGAGUUUAUGAUUUGAUUUAUGUUAAGCAUGUUUAUGGAAUAUGUUGUUUAUUGUCUUGUUUUUGGUGAGGAAUUAAUUGUUGGCCUAUAUUGAGCUGUAUUUUGAUAUAUCGUAUUUUCUAUAAAAACCAUGAACUAGUAGACUAUCUGAUGGAUGACGAUAGGAUGCUAGAACAUGUUUUCGAAACCCCUCUUUAUAGUAUAGAUGAUAGAUGACUUUAUACUAUGAAGUGGUUAUUUUUUAGAGGCGUAACUAUUUGUGCGUACCUAGUGGCCACUAUGCCGCCUGGGGCGAGGAUCUGGUGUUGGCAGAUAGGCCCUACGGGCUGAGGGACACGGAGCAAGCAUUGGGCCGGGAGUUAUAUUUAUUCAGUGAUCUUUCUAGCAGCACACCGUACUUACGAGACGAUCUGUGAGACUAUUGAUGCUUUGGUUUCCGCGAUGUUUUUCUGCGAUAUGUCUUUUGAGAUGUUUAUGGCAUGCUAAGGUUUUCAGUAAACCUAUCACUUAUUAUGCUAGUAGUUUUCAUUAUUAAAACUUGGGGGUUAGUAUGUUCACAACUAUUUUCGUAUUAUGUAUGUAUAUAUAACUUGGUCCACUCACCCUUAUUUUGCGCCCCCUUUCAGGAUUUAGAAUCGAGGCAUGCGAUCCUGAUGUCAACGUUUUCGCAUUGGCAUAGUUGAGUCAUCUUGGUAUAGGACCCACAUCCUCUUAUUUAUUCAAUUUUACAUUAAUUCUUUUAGAACUCUAGUUAGUUGUAUGCUCUGAAC
rnacentral:lncRNA from 1 species